UUUUGCAUAUCCUGGAAUA
rnacentral:snRNA from 1 species